AACGCUAGCUACAGGCUUAACACAUGCAAGUCGAGGGGCAGCAUGGUCUUAGCUUGCUAAGGCCGAUGGCGACCGGCGCACGGGUGAGUAACACGUAUCCAACCUGCCGUCUACUCUUGGACAGCCUUCUGAAAGGAAGAUUAAUACAAGAUGGCAUCAUGAGUCCGCAUGUUCACGUGAUUAAAGGUAUUCCGGUAGACGAUGGGGAUGCGUUCCAUUAGAUAGUAGGCGGGGUAACGGCCCACCUAGUCUUCGAUGGAUAGGGGUUCUGAGAGGAAGGUCCCCCACAUUGGAACUGAGACACGGUCCAAACUCCUACGGGAGGCAGCAGUGAGGAAUAUUGGUCAAUGGGCGAGAGCCUGAACCAGCCAAGUAGCGUGAAGGAUGACUGCCCUAUGGGUUGUAAACUUCUUUUAUAAAGGAAUAAAGUCGGGUAUGGAUACCCGUUUGCAUGUACUUUAUGAAUAAGGAUCGGCUAACUCCGUGCCAGCAGCCGCGGUAAUACGGAGGAUCCGAGCGUUAUCCGGAUUUAUUGGGUUUAAAGGGAGCGUAGAUGGAUGUUUAAGUCAGUUGUGAAAGUUUGCGGCUCAACCGUAAAAUUGCAGUUGAUACUGGAUAUCUUGAGUGCAGUUGAGGCAGGCGGAAUUCGUGGUGUAGCGGUGAAAUGCUUAGAUAUCACGAAGAACUCCGAUUG
rnacentral:rRNA from 1 species